UUUCCUUGUCCGAAUAAUUUCUAGGUUCUUAAGCUAUCCUUUUACCUAGAGAAGAAGUAGUCACGCUUGCAUAAAGUAGUGGUCUCACUCUGAUCUGAGCCUCUUGAAAGUCUCCCAAUAUUAAACUCUUUCUGUUUGUAUAUAUAGUAAUAACCAUCAUUUGCCCUUCUACGUUGAAAAGAUUUUGCAAAUCGAAGAAACUACUGUUGUCCCAUGUCUUAGACAUGCAUGCCUUUUCACUAUAUUAAUUCUUCUCCACUCUCUUUACCAAAAAAAAGCCUCUAUAUUUUUAGUAAAAAAACACUUAUGACUUGUAUCCAAAACAUGCCUAUAUAUAUGAUAUAACAUAUAGUUAGUUUCCAAGGAAUUAAUUUGUUCAAACCGCUGUCAUGAUAAUUAUUAUCGAAGGGACUUGAUGCAGUAGUGUAGAGUUUUUGUUCAACUCUUCUACUUCAUCAAGACUCCAAUAUUCAUGCACCCUCCACUAGUACUGUUUUCUUUCUGGUGCCCUAAUUAAAAAAAAUGAAAAUUAUAUAAAUCUGAAAUUUGAGAAAUUAAGUUUCAAAAUACGUUGAAUAUGCCUACUGAUUCAACUGCCUGUUUGAUCAACUGAGCGUCCUCUAGUUGCUAGGUGUAGUUCAGCACCCCUUGAUGUAAAAAACCAUAGAAAAGCAAUCAACUGGGCCCUCUCAUUCUAUUCAUCUUCAAGGACAAAGUUUUGCAUCAACUAGCUUCAUUUGCACAUGCGCCAUACCCUCAGCCAUUUAGCUAGAUCUUUCUCUUUAUUUUCUUCUUCUUAAUUAAAUAUUCAUCUCUCUUUCUUUAAUUUAUAUCACACCAUUUGGUAUAUCUAUUAGUAUUUUUUACUUCCCCUCUUCUUUCAGAACAUACACCCCAUUUUUGGAUGUUUGUUUAACAUUUUUCAGCUCUUUAUUGUUUUUGGUUCUUGACGACCAACAAAAAAAAAAAUCCUUGAUCAGGGGUUUAUGAGGUCUAAGGGGAUGCCGGUGCUGCUUUUGAAACAUGGGUAUUUUCGUUCGUACAUGUGAAAGCUUGGAUUUCUCUGUCAUGUCUUAAAUGUUCAAAAGAAGAGGCGACAAAAUGGAACCCUGGUCUUAAUGAACUGUACCAUCCAAUGAGUUUACUACCAUGCAUGCAUAUAGCAGGAAGCUUAGAAGUCAUCUAAGAAAAAGUUGAAUACAUGUUGCGGAAUCUUGAAGAGGAAAAAGUUUAUGUGAUUCAAUGAAAGAUUGCGAAUUGCGAGGGAGGAAGUGGAAGAAGAGAAGGAAGAUGAUGCAAGUUGCUGAUUAACUAUGACGUCAAAAACGUGUUGCAAAUGAAGCUAGCUGGUGCAAAACGUGUCCUUGAAGAUAAAUACAAUGAGAUGGUCAAGUUGAUUACUUUUCUAACGUUCUUUAGAUCAAUGGGUGCUGAACUACACUAAGAAACUAGAGGACGCUCAGAUGAUCAAACAGACACUUGAAUCAGAAGGCAUUGAACGUGUUGUGGAAACUUUUUUUUCAAAAUCAGAUAAUGUAAUUUUUCAUUUUCUUAGCUCAGAACAUCAAUACUAGUGAGAAUGUAAAAACCACAAUCCACAUUGAAAGUCUUGAUUUAGAGAAGGGUUGAAUAAUAUAAAAACUCUAUAAUCAAGUUUCUCUUUUUC